rnacentral:rRNA from 1 species
ACCUACGGGAGGCAGCAGUGGGGAAUAUUGCGCAAUGGGCGAAACCCUGAUGCAGCGACGCCGCGUGGGUGAAGAAGCGCCUCGGCGCGUAAAGCCCUGUCAGCAGGGAAGAAAAUGACGGUACCUGAAGAAGAAGCCCCGGCUAACUACGUGCCAGCAGCCGCGGUAAUACGUAGGGGGCAAGCGUUAUCCGGAUUUACUGGGUGUAAAGGGGGCGCAGACGGCGAUGCAAGCCAGGAGUGAAAGCCCGGGGCCCAACCCCGGGACUGCUCUUGGAACUGAGUGGCUGGAGUGCAGGAGGGGCG